UAGACAAGCAGAAAGAAAAGCAAUAAUAUACUAUGUAAGCUCCUGCCUUUUAUUAGCUCAGCUCCCUUUUCUCCCCUUGUAAAGCAGUGUUGUGUUGUUAUAUUAAUCUUUACUGUGAAGCAAAUUAAAGCAGGGACAGUUGUCAGAGCAUUAUUAAGAACAUCUGUUUAAUUAGGGCUGCCUUUGCAUCCAUUGGAGGGGGGAGUGGAGCAGCCCUGCUCAUCCCCUCCUGCCUCACACCCCCUGCCCAGCAAGGACCUGUGGUGAACCCAGGAGCCUUCAUCACCUGCCCUUCCUCUCAAAAACUCUCCCCAUUCAUCCUGAGAUGGAAAGAAGGAGGAGCAGGCAGAAAGGGGUAAACCAAGGCUGAGAGAGAGGCAGCCACUUGCUGGAGUCGAAGGUGGUGCUGCCAGUGGAAACAAGGCCUUCCAGACCCAAAUUAGGGACUGUAAAGGAGGAGCAGCAAUACCAGAGGGAGCCACAACCCCUGGCAUGAUCCACCCGUGCAGCAGUUGGGAUGUCCUGGAAUCCUCCCUGGAAUGUUGUCCUGGGUAAAGUAGAGCAUUCCUGGUCACUGGGAUUUGAAUUGUGAUUUUCCAUGGAUGAAACCCAACUCUCAUCUUGCCUCCUGUUCGAGCACUCUGCUUCCCAGGGGGGAAGAAAAGACAUUUUCCAGCAGAGAUGUCCAUGGAAAUCCAGGCUUUGUGAGCUUUAAAGCUUUCAUCAGUAGAUCAGAGUGAUGAAAAGCGGUGGCGUGGCAGCUGAAACCCUCUGCAGGAGGGGAGCAAAUGCUCACUCCACACCUUGGACCACCAGGAUGUCUCAAACCACCCACUCUGGGCUCUGCAGCUGAGAAAUUGCUCCCAUUUCCAGCAAAAACAAUGGAGUGGAGUGGGAAUUUCUGGCUGUAGAGACCUCUCUGUUCACACUGGGGGUGAUCCUCAGCAAACUCAGCUCGUGCCAUCACCCCACUGCUACCAGUCAGUGCCAAUUUGGAUUUAUUCAGGGUUGGGACCUGGUUUUCUCCAGCUUGGAGAAAGCGAUAUUUGGGAGUCUGGCAUCUGGGAGGCUCUGAAAUUUCCAUGCCAUUAGGAAAUAACAGAGCUGAGGGAAGAAGACAAUUUGUCUGAAAGAAAAGAAAAAAGUGUUUGAGAGCAUCAGAGGUGUUUAAAUCUGAGCAGAAGGUGCAUAUAAAGAUCUCAAACAAAUGUGAAACAUGUUUUUAAUAAAGUUGCCCUCUCAGCCUCUUUAUUGUAGGUUUUAAAUGCUGUGGUACAGAGAGGACAAAGGAGGUGACUUAAACCUGCCACUGCCUGGUGAACUCGGGGUUUUUAUAUCAGGAGUCCUCUGCCCAGAAGGGAUUGUAAAGAAAAUGUGUUUCUGUGCUGUGAUCCAUGAAGGAUCUGUGCUGUGCUUGUUCCCUUGACACAGGUAAACAUCUCCGUGGUGAGGACAUGGGAUUUAAGGACAGUGCCAUGCUGUAACAUUAGAAUUGGGUUAAAAGUCCCGUUCUGAGGAUGUUUAGAAAGCCCGGUCCUUGUUCAGUCACGGAGCCAGGCAGGCUCAGGCUGUUCAGAUCUUCAUCCUGCCCACAAUUUGGAGAGGAGGCAGCGAGUAAAAUCAUUGAAUGGAGGGUCUUGCAGCUGUGAGCUGCUCCCAGAGGUGUGGUGCCAAGCCCUUGCCCUGGUGAGCUCUGGGCAUGGUGAAGGUUUGAGUGCUCCAGUAGCCUGUGCCUGUCCCAGAGUCCUGUCUGGGGCAGGAAUGCCUCCCAUGAGUGCCCCGGGCACAGCAAACACAUCAUUGCUGCCAGCUGAGCUCAACUGGCCCUUUAGGAGUGAAGUGCAUCGGGGGCUGCUCUCCAGGAGCAAUCUGCCCGUGUUCCAGCUGGGAUGAGCUGGUUUUGCUCAAGAGUGGCCUCAUGGUGGGGCUGAAGCCACCUUCUGCUGUGGGUUAGGCAGGGCCCAGCCUGGGGGGAGAAUCUGAGGGUAAAAAUCCUGUUGGUUGAAAUAAAAACAGCUUAAUCAAGUAAAGCAAACCAAGGAAUUCCUUCAGUGCUCCCCAUUAUCCAGCCAGGUCAGCUGUGUCCCCUCCCAGCUUCCUGCAUUGCCCUGUCAGGCAGUGAUUCCUACUCCAGGGACUCUGGAAUUCCAGAAUUCUUGGAGUUCUGUAGCCUUUGGUGAAGGUUAGGAGCACAAACAGACCUGGG